UACGUAGGGUGCGAGCGUUUAAUCGGAAUUACUGGGCGUAAAGCGUGCGCAGGCGGUCUGUUAAGACCGAUGUGAAAUCCCCGGGCUUAACCUGGGAACUGCAUUGGUGACUGGCAGGCUUUGAGUGUGGCAGAGGGAGGUAGAAUUCCACGUGUAGCAGUGAAAUGCGUAGAGAUGUGGGAGGAAUACCGAUGGCGAAGGCGGCACUCUGGGCCGAUACUGACACUGAGGAGCGAAAGCGUGGGGAGCGAACAGG
rnacentral:rRNA from 1 species